GCUUCAGACGGAAUGAGGAAGAGUCUGUUUACAGUUGCGAAUGGAGCUUCGACCGCAGGAGCGACGUGACAUUUGACCUUUAUUUUCAGUGUACUGAUCAGAGAUGCAGUGACAUUUACGACAGUAAGGAAGUAUUUAUGAACCUAAAGGAGAACCGGACGGAGAUCAUUGAGGAAAGACUGACUGUCAAAUAUACUACUGAGGUCUGGGUGGAAGCUCGCACUGGAAACUCGAGCUGCAUGUCACCCAGGAGGUCCGGUGUUCUGGAGCACGCAGUCAAAUAUGAUGCACCACAGAAUAUUUUGAUGUCCUGGUCAGGAAACAACCUCAGCUUAAGCUGGCCGGCUGCAGAGAAACAUCCGGCUUUAGCAGAAGUUUGCUUUCAACAAUAUGGACGCCUCAUGGAAUCAUGUGAAAAAGUGAGUUAUUGUUGAUUUAUCAUUAAAUCCAAAUCUGUAUUUUUUUUACAUCAUUCUUGCAUUGUUCUUACAGAGAUUAAUAAAUA